GCCUUUGUAGCUCAGUUGGUUAGAGUGCUGCACCGGAAUUGCAGGGUCGCAGGUUCAAUUCCUGCCAGGGAAU